GNUUNAUUCGAUGAUACGCGAGGAACCUUACCAGGGCUUAAAUGCAAGUUGAAUGAUGUGGAAACAUGUCAGUCUUCGGACAAUUUGCAAGGUGCUGCAUGGCUGUCGUCAGCUCGUGCCGUGAGGUGUUGGGUUAAGUCCCGCAACGAGCGCAACCCCCAUCUUUAGUUGCUAGCAGGUAAUGCUGAGGACUCUAAAGAAACUGCCUACGCAAGUAGUGAGGAAGGCGGGGACGACGUCAAGUCAUCACGGCCCUUACGUCCUGGGCCACACACGUGCUACAAUGGUUGGUACAGAGGGCAGCUACCGGGUGACCGGAUGCGAAUCUCUAAAGCCAAUCUCAGUUCGGAUUGGAGUCUGCAACUCGACUCUAUGAAGCUGGAAUCGCUAGUAAUCGCGCAUCAGCCAUGGCGCGGUGAAUACGUUCCCGGGCCUUGUACACACCGCCCGUCAAACAAUGGAAGCUGGGGGUGCCUGAAGUCGGUAACCGCAAGGAG
rnacentral:rRNA from 1 species